UCCUACGGGAGGCAGCAGUGAGGAAUAUUGGGCAAUGGAGGCGAGUCUGAUCCAGCCAUGCCGCGUGCAGGAAGACUGCCCUAUGGGUUGUAAACUGCUUUUAUACAGGAAGAAACUGUGCUACGUGUAGCAGCUUGACGGUACUGUAAGAAUAAGGACCGGCUAACUCCGUGCCAGCAGCCGCGGUAAU
rnacentral:rRNA from 1 species